rnacentral:sRNA from 1 species
UCACAUUGUGCGAUGGCAGUUCCACCUA